GGGGUUGUGGCUCAGUGGUAGAGCACUUGUCUAGCAUGUGUGAGGCACUGGGUUCAAUUCUCAGCACCUCA
rnacentral:tRNA from 1 species